AGGUGCCUGCAGCUUCCUCAUGGCAAGACCUCGAGGGAAGUCCAGAGAGAAAAGGAUGUCAAAGUCCCGCUGUCCAGUGUCAUCGCAUUGAAAUCCUGCAGUGAUAAUUCUUGUUUCCCCAAAUUUUACAGAUAUGAUCUUGAUAGCCUUCAUGGAGGCGAAGUGAAGAAGACGGGAUU
rnacentral:lncRNA from 1 species